UAUAACGAAAUAGGAGUUCUUCUUCGCCGACCCUGAGGGCAUUUAUAAAGUUCAGUCAAAAUAGAUCCUCCAAGUAAUAAAGCCGCCCAUAGCAACUAAAACAGACAUGUUUCCAAAUAGGAUAUGCAUAUAAAUGUCAGUUAAGUCGACAAUGCUGGGGAAACAUUUAAGGAUCCCAAUUAAAUAACCUUCAAAGAACUCAGACAAAAAGAUCAUAUUUAAAUCAGUGUAACGACAUUCCGGAAUGACACAACCACGACAUCUUUGGAGACGCAUAGAAGGUCAGCGAAUCUUCCUGAACCAUGGUCGGCCGAGUAUAUAAGGAGCCGCAUCGCCGCUGAGAGUCAGCCGUCAGUUCAGUGUAGUGCAGUUCGGAAUAUUCGGUAAAAAUAAAUAUCUUUAGUGGUUGUAAGCGUAUUUAGUAUGUAAAUAAAUCAGUUGACUAUU